UGCUGUGCUUAUUAUUAAUGGCGACCGUUUCGUUUUCUAUACUGUUGAUGUGAACAAUCCAUAAUUUUUCCGAGCUCCUACCAGGUUCUUGUUAUUUUGUUGUUGAUUGUGCUGAGAUUACAGAAGAGGUCUUUACUCAGUUGAUUGCGUGCCAUCACUAAGGUGCACCUCCUCCUCAGGUAAUUUUAACUCCUUACCCAUAGCAGGAGUCUGGAGAUGGAGGGGGACGAGACUAGCAAUAUAAGUGCUCAUUAUAAAAGUCGCUGCAUCGGUCAAUUCUGUUCUACUGUUUGAGCUGCUCCAAUCAAGGAGCCUCCAACUCUCUAGCAAUAAGCAAGCUACUUGAGCAACUUCAAAAAACAGGAUCUUCAGGCAUGUGACGAUUUCUACUGUGAUUGAACUGCAAUGGAAAAUUACCCUUUCCACGAACCUUUUAGGAUACGGACUUCUAGAAUCUACAGCAGUGUGAUCGGCUCUGCCUCAUUAUACUAGAUUUUCAAUUAAGCCUUCACUGCGGGUUGAUCUCGUAGCAAAAGAAAACGUUCCAGAUAGCUGCUUUGUAAUUAUGUAGAUUGGGCGAUCGCGCGUCGCGCGGCCGAUGGCUCGAUGGGUCGUGCGAUCGAUUUGUGAUGAUUGACGUAGCACUGCCAACGAUUUUGCGGGAGACCAUGAUCGCUCCAGUAUCACUCGCCAGUUCGACACUCGACUUACACCACGACUGCUACAUCGGUAUCUCAGAAAAUAAAGUCAUAUUAAGCUACAUGUCAAUACAAGUUACUCGCUAUCCAAGGGCUCUAUAGCAUAAGCAUUCUCAAAAAUAAUAUACGGAGAAGUACGCUAGCAGCAUUGAGGUCGUGGGUGGUUCUUGGAGCGGUCUAGCCCUCAGUUCAAGUAAUCCAUAAGAAUGAAGUUUAACUUAUUUAGCAAAGUCACCUUGUCGACUGGCAGCACGGAUACACCUGCAAUAAUGAGGCAAUCGAUUGUUUCCGGAGCCUAACAAGUCAUCGAACAACCCAGCCAUCAUCGUAAUCAUCGACAAAAACAAAAGUAAGCGAUCACUCGUCACGGUGCGUGAGGGCCCAAGACUUUAUUAAAAUAUGCACAAUAAAUGUAAAUCCGUAGACUCAUAGAACAGCGCAAACAUGAAUUCACACAUUCCAUUCGUGAAUGCAAUUUAUAAGUUUAAUUAAUUAAUUGUAAGGUGAUCGAUCACAAUAGGAGUUUAAUGGACAAAACAAGCAGUAUUUUUGUAAAAUGAAUAGAAUCGAAUUCGAAAUGGAAUAUCGCGUGUCA